rnacentral:lncRNA from 10 species
CUCAGACUCUUUCCGUGGCCCCUGCCCCAUCGCCUGCAGAUGCAGGUAAAACAGAUGCGUGAGUUCAAAGCACAUGACUCCCCGAGGAGCCAGAGAUGCCAGCUUCCACUUUGAUGUUUAGAACCUUCCUUCCUGGAGUCUUCUGCCCCCUAGUGCAAUCUGGACCAGUUUUCCCUAGGCCUGGGACACAGCUGUCUUUCCGGACUACUCUCCAAUAUUGUCCUGUGCCAAGACUUACUCCUGGGUUGGGAGCAGCCUCCUCUAGCUUACACAAGCAUCAUCAGAGUUCAGAAAUCAGCUUCACAAAACUGGAGAGUGGUGGGUCAGACUGAAAGACCUUCUACUGCCCAAGCCUUACCUGGAGUUUUGCUACUUCCUUCCUGAUCAGGAAGCUGACUUGGUCCCGGUCAUUCCUGGAGUAAUAGAGACGGCACCAGGAAGGCUUCCCAUCCCUGCCAGCCCGGCCAGACUCCUGGUAGUACCCAGCCAUAGACUUGGCAAUAUUCCAAUGGGCGACAAACCUGUAGGAUCCAAAGGGACAAGCAGCAUGAGAUGGUGGAGAAGCUGAGUGUCCUUUGGAGGAGUAAUCAUGACUAGGAGAGCAGGGAGGCCAGCAGAUAGGGAGGGAGAGGGAUAGUCCCAGAGUUAGAAUAGUUAAGACACCUGUAGCCCAUCAGCACGUCUCCCUUCUAGAAGCAGCCCAGCUUAGAGGCCACAGCAGGAGUUAAGGGGGGGCAAAUCCAGCACAUAUGAGGGGCCAAAAAACUCAGCCAGGGCCCAGUGGAAAAAAUACUGGACCUAAAGAAACAAAAUGAGGCUCUGCCACUUAUGAGCUAUGCAAAUUUGAAUAAGUUAUUUAUAACUUCUUUGGAGAGGGAAAGGAAUAAUAUUUAUUAAAUACCUCCUAUGUGCCAGUUUAUAUAUGUCUCAUUUAAUUGUUAGUCACCAUCAUGUGAGGUAGCCCAUUCUCCAGAAUAUGAGAUUCAGAAAGGUAAAUUUGUACAAGGUUACACAGUAAAGGGUCAGCAGAGCUAGAAUUUGGGCCUAGGGGUGUCUGCCUUCAAAACUGGCUCUUAACAAGAUACCACAGACCCAGGAUUCAUUUUAUUUAUUUUGCUUGUUUUUUAUUUUAUUUUAUUUUUAGAUGGAGUCUUGCUCUGUCACCAGGCUGGAGUGCAGUGGAGUGAUCUCAGCUCACUGCAACCUCCACCUCCCGGGUUCAAGCGAUUCUCCUGCCUCAGCCUCCUGAGUAGCUGGGACUACAGGUGGGCGCCACCAUGCCCAGCUAAUUUUUGUAUUUUUAGUAGAGACGGGGUUUCACCAUGUUAGCCAGGAUGGUCUCAAUCUGUUGACCUCAUGAUCCGCCUGCCUCGGCCUCCCAAAGUGCUAGGAUUACAGGCAUAAGCCACUGUGCCCGGCCUUGUUUUUUAUUUUUCAAGACAGGGUCUUGCUCUGUUGCACACGCUAGAGUACAGUGGCACAAUCACAGCUCAUUGCAGCCUCAACCCCCGGCCUCAAGCAAUCCUUCCACCUCGGCUUCCCAAGUAUCCAGGACUACAGGCACAUGCCACUAUACCUGGCUAAUUUUUAAUUUUAUAGAGAUGGAGUCUUGCUAUGUUGCCCAGGCUGGUCUCGAACUCCUGGGCUCAAGCAAUCCUCCCAUCUGGUCCUCCCAAAGUGCUGGAAUUAUAGGUGUGAACCACUACACCUGGCAGCAUACCCAGGGUUCGAACUCUGAUUCUGAAGUCGGUGUUCUUUCAAAUGUAACGCACUAUAAAAUUUCGUCCCUAACUCAGGGUCACUGUGAGGUUCACGAAGACCAUGUAUGCAAACAUGCUCCGUAAAUCAUACAAGGUAUUAUUAUUUGUCGUUAAUCAGACCAAAGGGCUUCAGGCUGUAGCCCAAAACGCCUCUUGAAGGUCAUGGCCAGAUAUAAAAGACUUCCUAUUAGUUGCCAGUGUGGGGCUAGGAGGCUGGGAUGCACCCCGACUCUUCUAGACUAUUAGUAAGCAAUAAAAAGGAAUGAUGGUUCUAAGAGCCUUGCCUUUGACCUUCCACAGGGAGUAGCUUAAAAUACAGUCACACAUUACUUAAUGAUGGGAAUA